AGCGAACGCUGGCGGCAGGCCUAACACAUGCAAGUCGAACGGAUCCUUCGGGAUUAGUGGCGGACGGGUGAGUAACACGUGGGAACGUGCCCUUCGGUUCGGAACAACUCAGGGAAACUUGAGCUAAUACCGGAUGUGCCCUUCGGGGGAAAGAUUUAUCGCCAUUGGAGCGGCCCGCGUCUGAUUAGCUAGUUGGUGAGGUAAAGGCUCACCAAGGCGACGAUCAGUAGCUGGUCUGAGAGGAUGAUCAGCCACAUUGGGACUGAGACACGGCCCAAACUCCUACGGGAGGCAGCAGUGGGGAAUCUUGCGCAAUGGGCGAAAGCCUGACGCAGCCAUGCCGCGUGAAUGAUGAAGGUCUUAGGAUUGUAAAAUUCUUUCACCGGGGACGAUAAUGACGGUACCCGGAGAAGAAGCCCCGGCUAACUUUGUGCCAGCCGCCGCGGUAA
rnacentral:rRNA from 1 species